CUCUGUAUCUAGAGAUUGUUUAGAUUAUUUCAUCGAAUUAUCUUCUUAUAUUACUUAACUAUAAUUUUGUUAACCUGAUCUUUUUCUGACAGAGACGCCAAAUCUCUAAUUCUGAAUCAGAAGAAAGUGAAAGCGAAGAGAAGUUCAGCGAAGAAGAACAUGAUGAUGAAGUAAUCCUCAAGCAGAACAACAAGGUAUCCGAAUACGAGAAGCAGAGGUUAAUGAGAAUUGCAGAGAACAGAUCCAGAAUGGAGGCUUUGGGUCUCGCCAAAUUGCUUCUUCUUUGAUGGGUUCGUCGCCAAAUUCAAGUCGGACUUCGAGUAAGCUUAAAGCGAAACGCAAGGUCGUUGAAGACGAUGAAGAUUACAGGCCCAAUGAUGACGAGGAUGAAAAAGACGACGACGAUAACGGUUAUGAUAAUGAGGAAUUUCCGGGUAGUAAAACGCCUCAGUCCUAGUCUCGUAAAAACAAGGUGAAAUAUAAAGGCUCAAAACAUAAGAAGAAAGCUUCUGUUCAAAAACAAUUAAACACGUCAGAUUAUGUUGAUAAUGAAGAUGAAUUAAUGGCAAUUGCUCUUUCCCUGAAAGAUUCUGGAGAAGUUUUAGGUUCUGUACCUGCAGAUGUGUCAGUUGCUACAUUCACUGAAAGAAAGGAGAAUAACGCUCGAAACAAGAGGAAAAAAUCGUUCACCAGUUGCACCCAAAUGACUGAGGAUGAAAUGGUCAUGCACUUCUUUCAGUUUGAUGGUAAUUGCUGAUGCUACUCUCUUCUUUCUAUCUUUCUUAUGAAGAUGCACACUGUCAACAUAGUAAGCUUAUUACUAUAGAAAGCUUAGAAUCUGCAUUAGCAUUGCUCUUGCAGAUCUAAAAAUUUUCUGGGAAAAGAAUUCCGUAUUUCCUCAAAUCGCCGAGGAUAUGUUUUUCACAAGAACAUCUAUUAUUUAGCAUUAUCAUGGCACCUCAGAAGAAAUAGGUGCCGAAGGCCCUGGUAGCAGCAGUUAGCUAAAUAAAGAGUAGGAUUUUGGUGCAUUUGCUUACACUGCAUAUUCUGGUUCGGUCAAAUUAGAAUGAGAAGCCUAAUGCUGAACACCUCAUGUGUAAUACUAUUUUUGUUUUGGUAUCAUCUCUCCCUUCCUGAAUAUGUUUUUGGUCAUUGAUUAAAAGCAUUGUUGGCUAUCAGAAGCUGGAAAAGGAGGCAUUUCUAUUCGAGAUUUACGAAGAGUAGCUAUCGCACAUGAUUUUAUGUGGACGGAUUAGGAGUUGGUUGACAUGAUCCAUUGCUUUGAUGGCAAGAGUUAUGGGAAGGUGGCACUGCAGCUAAAUCUUGAUGAUUUCCGGGAAAUUGUCAGCAGAUGCAACAUGUUACGAACAUCUGAAAAUUCGUGAACCGGGUUCAAGCUUAUUUUGUUUUAAGAUGUACCUUUUUUAAACGGAUUAGGAUUUCGUAAUCAAGACUCAGUGCUCCGUUCUUUUAUUCUACAAGUUGAAUGUUUUCGUGUACAAAUGUAAGCUAUGUAUAGUUUGAUAAUAAAAAACAGGCUUACGGCA